GACGAACCGAGCGAACGUUGUUCGGAAUCACUGGGCUUAAAGGGUGCGUAGGCGGGUUGUCCAGUCUGGGGUGAAAUCCCACGGCUCAACCGUGGAACUGCCUCAGAUACUGACGACCUCGAGGGAGGUAGGGGCGAGCGGAACUGUGGGUGGAGCGGUGAAAUGCGUUGAUAUCCACAGGAACUCCGGUGGCGAAGGCGGCUCGCUGGACCUCUUCUGACGCUGAGGCCCGAAAGCUAGGGGAGCAAACGGG
rnacentral:rRNA from 1 species